CACAUACGCUCAUCUACGACCGGUUUCCCCCAUGCGAUCUGCGCAGGCAGUGUGGCGACCGGCAGAUCUGCGCCGCCCCAGGGCCUGCUCGUGCCGGAGCGCCCCGGAUCUUCUUAAAGGCAGCACCUUUCUUCUGGAUCUCGUAGGUUCUCGAGAUCAGACCAUCGUGGAGACGAUGGCGCGUCUAUUAGGAGUGAAUUGGUUUUUUGCCGGGAUUUCAAAGCCUUGGUAGGCAAGACGAUGGGACUUAGGGUAUAUUUUCAUCAGUGCCUAAUUCGAGGCCGGUGCAGACUGAAGCUUUGCAAGUUGAUGCCACUCUUCUUGGAAUCAGUAAGCUGACGAUUCCUGUGCGAGCCUAGGCUUGUCGACAAGUAAGCAAAUUGUAUCUCAGGGCUGGACCGUUUGCAGCUUGCUGCCUAUCUAACACGCAGACAGAAUCUGUGCACGCACCCUACCUAGUUGUUUGUUUGUGUAGUAACUUUUCCUUGUAGGAGUAUACAAAGAAGAAUAGAAGGCAGGGCAAAGUAACCCUCUUGGCGUAUUCUCUUUAGCCAUAUAUAUACUACAUCUGUCUCAUAAUAUAAGAUGUUUUUUGACACUUAUCACAGUGUCAAAAAAUCUUGUAUUAUGAGACAGAGGGAGUACUUCUUAUAUGCACCUUUUAGACACUUAGCAGUGCUAUUAAAUGUCCUAUGCCUAAUCGCUGAUUAGUCACGCUAGUGGGAUGGUGGUCGUAAACCUGACAUGCAACCAUCUAUACCACCGACCUGACCCUCUGAUUGCGAGACUCACUGCAGUUGUGAUAAUAGAAAAACGUAAGCAACCAGUUCUAACUCGUGACGAACAUGCGGACAUGCAGACCUCUCUUUUGAUUUUGGUCUUGUUUUAUUUCUGCCUUGAAGAAAUAACACAGCACAAUUGCAUUCUUGACUCCACUUUUUGGUUUUGAAAUUAGAAGCCAAUUGCUGAAGCACUUCUAGCUAGAAGCCUCCUACAACCCUCCUCGCUGUCAACAUUAGCAUUCUUACUUUUAGACCCAGCCAUGCCAUGCAACAAAUCAACAAGAGCAACAAUGCAACAUUAAUCAACAGAGCAACUGCAGGUUCACAACAAGCAGCGGUUGUUUGGAUGGGCUCGAUUUAUAUGUUUCCUUAAAUAAAAGAGAAUAAAACAAAGGGCAAAGUAACCCUAUUGGCAUAUUCUCAUUUUGCCAUGUACUCCCUCCGUUCCUAAAUAUAAGUCUUUUUAGAUAUUCCACUAUAGACUACAUACGGAGCAAAAUGAGUGAAUCUACACUCUAAAAUAUGUCUAUAUUACAUCCGUAUGUAGUUUGUAGUUGAAUCUCUAAAAAGACUUAUAUUUAGGAACGGAGGGAACGGAGGGAGUAUGUUCUUAUAUGAAGUUUUCAAACAGUCAGUACUAGCUACAUAGUCUCUGAUUGCUGAUUAGCCACUUGGUACACAAUAAAACUAAAUUCUCCGCAUAUGACUCGGUAAGCAACCAGUUCUGAGCUCAUGACGAACACACAAAUUUGCACAACUUUCUAACUCAGUUGUUUGUUCUUGUUAAAUAAUAAGCACAUGCGUCAUAAUAGAUAAAUUUGUAUAUGCAGAGUAUGAAAUGACAAUGUUAAAUGAUAGGGCACACACAGCAUGGUAGGUUAACUCUUAUACUCAUCUAUGUGUAAAAUAGUCAAGAAAAGUGUUGACAUUUUCUUUUGUAAUGUGCUCCCUCCGUUCAUAAUUAUAAAAUGUUUUGGAUAUUUCAAUAUGGACUACAUACAUACUGAAAUGAGUGAGCAAAGACACUAAAAUCCGUCUAUAUACAUCUGGACCAGAAAAACGUUGGAACAUCUUAUAAUUGUGAACUGAUGAAGUAUAUCAGUUUAUUUUCCUAGCAUGCACUCCCUUAGUUCACAAAUAUAAGAUGUUCUGCAACACUAUCUUGUGAAUCGGAUGUAUAGACACGUUUUAGUGUGUUUGUUCACUCAUUUCAGUCUGAAUGUAGUCCAUGUUGAAAUAUCCAAAACAUCUUAUAUUUCUGAACAGAAGGAGUACCAAUUUAAAAUCCCAUCCACAUGUUUGUACUGUUAUCAUAAAUAAAAAAGUUUAAAGGCAGUCUUCUUAUAUUUUUAAGAUUCUCAAAAUGUGCAAAAUGGUAAAAUUAUGAUGGUAUUAUAUGGGGGAUGUGCAGGUAACGCGAGAGGUAUUCUGUAUGCAGGUUAUUCCUAUCCCCAAAGAUCUGCCUCACAAAGGAACUUAUUAAUGUGACUGCCGGACAUGAUAAACUCUCUCCCGGAAGUUUGCUGUACGGAUGCUAUAUCCUUUCACCCCGGGUCCAUGAUUGCAGGCUAACGAGGAACGAGGCAGCUUCUGGACCGGUGCUGUGAUGUCCCCCCGGCUCCAGAAUUCGCAAGCUUGCCUGUUUUUAUUUAUUUAUCCCAGUAGUGUUAGUAUCAUGUAAACCAAAUCGCCAGUCUGAAGGUGAUAAAAUUACUGUAUUACCUAUCUCUUGGUCUUGUUCUUCGCCCUGGUGGCCUCGGCCUCCCUUGCGGCCCUCCUGGCGGCAUUUCUCUGUGCCGCCAGCCUGAUCUGUUCCCGCUCGGUCUGGCGACGUUGGAUCCGCUGAUUCCGCCACUGCGGUACGCCUCGGCGGGGUUGGGCUGCGGCGGCUCCACAGCCAGGUGGAACUCGACGUGAUCCGCGUACUCCUCGCGGCUGUAGAAGCCCUCGAGACGGCACGGCCGGCAGUUGAUGUACCUGAACGGAACCUCUGCCAUCGCUGCAGAGAGAAUUAAUAGAUUAAGUUUAACUUC